UACGUAGGGGGCUAGCGUUGUCCGGAAUUAUUGGGCGUAAAGAGCUCGUAGGCGGUCUGUCACGUCGGCUGUGAAAUCCCGAGGCUCAACCUCGGGUCUGCAGUCGAUACGGGCAAACUAGAGUAUUGCAGGGGAGACUGGAAUUCCUGGUGUAGCGGUGAAAUGCGCAGAUAUCAGGAGGAACACCGGUGGCGAAGGCGGGUCUCUGGGCAAUAACUGACGCUGAGGAGCGAAAGCGUGGGGAGCGAACAGG
rnacentral:rRNA from 1 species